UUGUAUAACAUAGGAUUAGAUUAAUUAUAAAUAAAGCAGUCCUCCUUAGAGGGGGGGGUGGUGGAGGGAAUAUUUAAGAAAUAAAAAUAAGAUUAAUUAAGAUAAGGUUAAGAUAAGAUUGUAUAACAUAGGAUUAGAUUAAUUGUAAAUAAAGCAGUCCUCCUUAGAGGGGGGGUGGUGGAGGGAAUAUUUAAGAAAUAAAAAUAGGAUUAAUUCAGAAGGUUAAGAUAAGAUUGUAUAACAUAGGGCUACAGUGAAGAAAUCAAAAAUUUCAAGGCAGCAUGAAGGUAACGCACAAUCAGGGAUGUGCAAUUUCUGAGGCAUGUAUUCAAAAAAAGUAUUUUAAUUGUGUUUUAUGAUUCAUAUUUGACUUAGUUCAUGAAAUAAAAUGUUUUUUUCUACA